rnacentral:pre_miRNA from 11 species
UCCUCCGGCUCUUGCAUUCCUUCCGCCCUCCUCUUCUUCAAUGAUGCAGAGAGAACCUGGCAGCUGAAAGACCCCCAGAGUGGGGAGACCCUCACUCAAGUCUCGGGAUAAGCCGAUGCCCCAGUAAUUCAAGAAGCCCC